GCUUAUGUCACACUGCCAUAGAAUCUCGAAUCCUGGGGUGGCCGACGGCACAUGCCUUUCAUCCCAGCACUUGGGAAGCAGAGGCAAAUUGGAUCUCUCUGGUGGGCACAGGACCGUGGAACCAGCCACUUCCUUCAUCCCCACUGUCAUCAUGUGAGUGGCUGUGAGGUGCUCCAACGUUUAAAUCAAGGACUGUGGAUAACCUACGCGGUUCCCCUCCAACUUUAUUUUGGCGGUAAGAGUCCUACACAGAUAAGAACUCCAAAAUGAGUGAUGGGUGUGGCAGUAUGUAUUGUCAUCUCAGCUGUUGGGAAGAUGAGGCAGGAGGAUUGAUUGAACCAAGAAGUUUAAGAUGCCUGAACAAAAUGUAAAGGUUCUGUGAAAAAGGCAAAAAGUAACAGCAACGAAACAUCCUCCAACUAAUAUUUCUCUGGAGACGCAGAGUGUCCGUGUCCUCUAGAGUUGCCAAGCUGGGACAGUGGGAACAGCCUGUACCUUCCAGCCCCUGGUUGCAUGGGACACUACAGCAGAAGAGAACGUGGCCAGCAGACAGCAGCACACACCACGGAACAAGAGCGAGAGAGAAUCCGGUGCAGGGGCAAACUGCCUGGGACCAGAUCCCCCCCCCUCCUCCUGUGUCAGUAAAUCCUCACCAUUUGAAA